rnacentral:rRNA from 1 species
UACAGAGGUGGCAAGCGUUGUUCGGAAUUACUGGGCGUAAAGGGCGCGUAGGCGGUUCGUUAAGUCCUGUGUGAAAUCCCCCGGCUCAACCGGGGAGGGUCGUCGGGGACCGCACCGCUUGAGGGCGGUAGGGGCUGGUGGAAUGCCUGGUGUAGUGGUGAAAUGCGUAGAGAUCAGGCGGAACACCCGUGGCGAAGGCGGCCAGCUGGGCCGUCCCUGACGCUGAGGCGCGAAGGCGUGGGGAGCGAACGGG